rnacentral:rRNA from 1 species
CCUUAGUUACCAGCACGGUUAUGGUGGGCACUCUAAGGAGACUGCCGGUGGACAAACCGGAGGAAGUGGGGAUGACGUCAAGUCAUCAUGGCCCUUACGGCCUGGGCUACACACGUGCUACAAUGGUCGGUACAAAGGGUUGCCAAGCCGCGAGGUGGAGCUAAUCCCAUAAAACCGAUCGUAGUCCGGAUCGCAGUCUGCAACUCGACUGCGUGAAGUCGGAAUCGCUAGUAAUCGUGAAUCAGAAUGUCACGGUGAAUACGUUCCCGGGCCUU